GCCCUUCCCAUCCCGUCAAAGAGGGCCUAUAUUGGAAAGGUCCGGUUCGCCGGACUAUGGUGAUAAACGUGCGUGAAAUAAGCAGGCCGGACCGGGGUGCGAUUCCCCGCGGCUCCACCAAGCUCUCUGCGUGUAUCGACGCGAGUGUGGGGCCGAUCAGGAUCGACGGAUGUGUAAAGACGUUACUUUUACCCGCGUGGGCUUCGUCAACCGCCCAUUUUCACAAAUGCAAACGAUAACUUUGCACAGGAAGUCCGUUUGGCUGCGUAAUGCGGUCUGAUUGACAUCCGACUAAGUCCCAAGGCUUCGGCCGAAGGCGGGGCUCGGAGGGGGGCCCGGCAACAGCAACCCCCUCCA
rfam:Hyphomonadaceae bacterium TKL13-1, complete genome.